GGAAAGGCUCAGUGGUAGAGAACGUGCUUUUCAUGCAAAAUGUCCCUGGUUCAAUCCCAGGCAUUUCCA